UUGCUCUUCAACGAGGAAUUCCUAGUAAGCGCGAGUCAUCAGCUCGCGUUGAUUACGUCCCUGCCCUUUGUACACACCGCCCGUCGCUACUACCGAUUGAACGGCUUAGUGAGGCUUUCGGAUUGGCCCGUGGAGGGAGGCAACUCCCACCUUGGGUAAAGAAGUUAGUCAAACUUGGUCGUUUAGAGGAAGUAAAAGUCGUAACAAGGUUUCCGUAGGUGAACCUGCGGAAGGAUCAUUAAAAAAAUACGCCUGGUGAAAGUGUGAAAACACCGAAUCCAGUGCUGUAUACAACCACCUGUUUACCUUUACCUGUUUCUUCCGUGGAAUUACGGGUGCUCUUUCUGCUUGCAGCUUAGAGUUACCUUCCACGGGUGCAUUUUAAAAAUUGUUUUGUAUUAUUGUCUGAAAAAAAAUUAAAAGUUAAAACUUUCAACAACGGAUCUCUAGGUUCUCGCAUCGAUGAAGAACGCAGCGAAAUGCGAUAAGUAGUGUGAAUUGCAGAUUUCAGUGAAUCAUCGAAUCUUUGAACGCACAUUGCGCCCUCUGGUAUUCCGGAGGGCAUGCCUGUCUGAGCGUCAAUAAAUCAAUCAAACCUUGGUUUGGUAUUGGGAGAAGUGGCUUUGCCUCUCUCCUUUAAGCUAUUGGCGACGCUAUUUCAGCUUGUAAGAUGUAGUAAGUAAUUUCUCGUCAAAGCAACUGGAUGGAUGUCUGCCAAAUGAACGAUUUAUUUAACAGCUUGACCUCAGAUCAGGUAGGGAUACCCCCUGAACUUAAGCAUAUCAAUAAGCGGAGGA
rnacentral:rRNA from 1 species